CAGCCUGAAAUGAUGACUAUUUAAUUCAUGUCUCUUCUCUGACAUUUUUCCUUUGGAGAUGAUUUUUGCCUUAUUGGUCUGAUCAGGCUG